rnacentral:tRNA from 3 species
GAUGACUGAAAGCAAGUACUG